UACAGAGGGUGCGAGCGUUAAUCGGAAUUACUGGGCGUAAAGCGUGCGUAGACGGCUAUCUAAGUCGGGUGUGAAAGCCCCGGGCUCAACCUGGGAAUUGCAUUCGAGACUGAAUAGCUAGGGUGCGGUAGAGGGAAGCGGAAUUUCCGGUGUAGCGGUGAAAUGCGUAGAUAUCAGGAGGAACACCGGUGGCGAAGGCGGAUCUCUGGGCCGAUACUGACGCUGAGGAGCGAAAGCGUGGGGAGCGAACAGGA
rnacentral:rRNA from 1 species